UUCUCUUGGUCUAUUUGAUUCUAACUUAGUAACUCGUCCAGUCAUCUUGACUUACUUCCAAAAGACUAAAAGGUAUGUUUCAUAUCUCUCUUAAUCUUAGCUUUGUUUUAGUUUUUUAUUUGGUAUAUUUCAAUGUGUUAUAGUUAUACUAUCUUAUUUUAAUACUUUGUUGUGUGAGUUGUAGGAAAAGGAAUGAAUCAUGCCCUUUUAAAGAGGUGUAUUUGCUUGCGGCCUCGUUCUUUUAUGAUCUAACUCCACAAGGCACAAGUUACAUGUAAGUUUUUCACAAUAUCUCUCAUAUAUAUAAUUAUGCAUAUUUGAUAUUUUUGUAACUAUAUGUAUAAACUUUUAAUUUUUUAUUGCCGAGUCCCCGCACCCGUAUCCGUAUCC
rnacentral:lncRNA from 1 species